CCUACGGGAGGCAGCAGUAGGGAAUAUUGCUCAAUGGGGGAAACCCUGAAGCAGCAACGCCGCGUGGAGGAUGAAGGUUUUCGGAUUGUAAACUCCUUUUGUUAGAGAAGAUAAUGACGGUAUCUAACGAAUAAGCACCGGCUAACUCCGUGCCAGCAGCCGCGGUAAUACGGAGGGUGCAAGCGUUACUCGGAAUCACUGGGCGUAAAGAGCGCGUAGGCGGGAUAGCAAGUCAGAUGUGAAAUCCUAUGGCUUAACCAUAGAACUGCAUUUGAAACUGUUAGUCUAGAGUAUGGGAGAGGUAGGUGGAAUGCUUGGUGUAGGGGUAAAAUCCGUAGAGAUCAAGAGGAAUACUCAUUGCGAAGGCGACCUGCUAGAACAUAACUGACGCUGAUGCGCGAAAGCGUGGGGAGCGAACAGGAUUAGAUACCCCGGUAGUC
rnacentral:rRNA from 1 species